rnacentral:RNase_P_RNA from 1 species
AGAGUAAGCCAGACGAUCGCCGGGAUGCUAUGGUAUCCGGGAGGAAAGUCCGAACACCACAGGGCAGGAUGCUCCAUAACGUGGAGUCACGGUGACGUGAAGGCAAGUGCAACAGAGAGAAGACCGCCUUUUGCUUCAGGCAGAAGGUAAGGGUGAAAGGGUGCGGUAAGAGCGCACCAGUGUUCCGGGUGAUCGGAGCAGCUGGGUAAACCCCAUCCGGUGCAAGACCAAAUAGGGAAGUGUCAGGGUGGCCCGCCCUGCUUCCGGGUAGGUCGCUUGAGGCCGUCGGUAACGGCGGUUCUAGAUGAAUGAUCGUCACUCUUUUCCGGGUAACCGGGGCAGAGAACAGAAUUCGGCUUACGGCUUACUCUAACC